rnacentral:rRNA from 1 species
UACGUAGGGGCCUAGCGUUGUCCGGAUUUAUUGGGCGUAAAGAGCGUGUAGGCGGCCAGGUAGGUCUGCUGUGAAAACUCGAGGCUUAACCUCGAGAUGUCGGCGGAAACCAUCUGGCUAGAGUCCGGAAGAGGAGAGUGGAAUUCCUGGUGUAGCGGUGAAAUGCGCAGAUAUCAGGAAGAACACCCGUGGCGAAGGCGGCUCUCUGGGACGGUACUGACGCUGAGACGCGAAAAGCGUGGGGGAGCGAACAGG